rnacentral:rRNA from 1 species
UACGGAGGGUGCAAGCGUUGUCCGGAUUUAUUGGGUUUAAAGGGUGCGUAGGUGGCCUGGUAAGUCCGUGGUGAAAGCCUCCUGCUCAACAGGAGAACUGCCAUGGAUACUGCCGGGCUUGAGUCCAGACGAGGUUGGCGGAAUAGAGGCUGUAGCGGUGAAAUGCAUAGAUAGCCUCUAGAACCCCGAUUGCGUAGGCAGCUGACUAGGCUGGUACUGACACUGAGGCACGAAAGCGUGGGGAGCGAACAGG